AUGAAAUGUUUACAGGAGCUCAAAAGAUUCAGUGUUAAGGAAGAGAGUGUUGGAUUUGAACUGAGAGAGUUGGGGGAACUAACAGAGCUUGGAGGAGAACUCACUAUAUAUGGUCUUGAGAAGGUGGCAACAAUGGAAGAGGCUAAAGAAGCCAAGCUUGUGUGUAAAAGAGAUUUGAAAAACCUUACGUUAGAUUGUGGUACAGAUCUCCAACAUAGUGAUGUUCUCGAUGCCCUUCAGCCGCACCCUAAUCUUGAAGCACUUGUCAUUAGAAAUCAUGGUGGCACACGUGGUCCUAGUUGGUUGUGUGGUGACAUUGGCAUCAAAAUGUUGGGGUCUCUCCACCUAGAGGAUGUGUCUUGGGGCACCCUUCCACCUUUUGGGCAGCUAUUGCAUCUCACAUCACUCAAAUUGAUCAGCAUUUCUGUACUUCAUGAGAUUAGACCUGGCUUGGGUGGAGUUACGGACAAUAGCUUUGUGAAUUUGAAGAGGAUUGUUCUUCUCAGGUUACCUGAAUUUGUCGAGUGGGUUGGGGGGGCUAAUGCCCAAUCUUUCUCAAGGCUUGAAUGCAUCCGCUGCAAAGAUUGUCCCAAACUCUGUGUUGUGCCCUUCCUGGAGUGCUCUGUCUCUUAUCCCAAUCUGUCAAAUUUUGUUGUUGAUAAUUGCCCUAAGUUGUCCCUGCCCCCCAUGCCUCACACACCCACACUGACAUCUUAUAUUGUGAGAGUUGGUUCCACAAAGCUGUCUUAUGAUGAUGAGGGCUUGGUUAUUGAUGGGUAUAGUGGUGAGCUGGCCUGGGAUAACCUGCAUGAAGUAGAAAGAAUCAAUAUUAGAGAUGUGUCACACAUUCCAUUGCCGGAGCUCAGCAAACUGAAAGUCUUUAUGUAUCUUGUGAUUGAUGAGGAGUCAAGCAUGCAGUCAAUGGCUCUGCUCUCAGAGCUCACCUGUCUCACUGAUCUAAGACUGGUGGACUGUGAGAAUUUAACAGUGGAUGGAUUUAAUCCUCUUAUCACGGUCAACCUCAACUAUUUGUGUGUGUAUAACACAGGAAAUUGUCGUAGCCGCUCUAUAUCAGCGGAUCUCUUCUCGGAAUUGGUGGUAGCAAGGACCAGCCUAUCAUUGCCCGCGGGCUCCUUCCAACUGGAACAUCUUAAGGUGGAUUGCAUCUCAGCUGUGCUAGUUGCUCCCAUCUGUAGCAUCCUCGCUGCUACCCUCCGGUAUUUACGAUUCAGCUUUGAUCAGCGGGCAGAAAGCUUCACGGGAGAGGAAGAUGGAGCUCUUCAGCUCCUCACCUCCCUCUAUUACAUCAAAUUUGAGGAUUGCCCGAAUCUGCCAUGCCUUCCUCAAGUGUUACACAGCCUUCCUUCUCUUCGCAUCCUAGAUAUCGAACGUUGUCCUCAAAUCCGAUCUCUGCCCAAGGGGGGCUUCCCCACUCCGCUAACUGUAACCGUAACGGGUUGCAGUCGCGAGCUAGAAGAGCAACUCUGGAAAUUACAGGCAACAAACCCAGAUGUUGAUGUGUGCAUUUGCUAG
rnacentral:rRNA from 1 species